GCGGGAGCAGAAAAGUGACAUGUUGAAAAGAAUAUGUGAAAAUGAGACAUAGAGUCCUAAGCCAUUAAUAUAAUCAAAUAAGAAGAUUAGUUAAGGGCCCUCUCACAUGUUUAUGAGGUUGUCAGAGCUUUUCCUUCAGGAGGAAUUUGAUGUAGCCCAUUGAGGGAAAAAAAAAAGAUCUUCAGACCUACAACACCAAGAGACCUUGUGAAUGGGAGCAGCUCAUUCCCUUAGGGGUAGUCCCUAAUGUUUGUCAACUAGAACAACAGAAUAACAUGAACUGGCAAAGAGUCAGAUGCAGAUAUGUUAUAUGACUGGAACUAUUCCCAUGUCUUUUUUUGACCAUCAGGAAGCAGAGAAGAACUUAGGAAGGAAGUACUGAUGAAGAGCAAUGUCUGCUACCAUCUUCUCAGCACAGAAGAAAGCUGCAGGAGGCUAGCAGCAUAAAUCAAAGGAAAGACCCAUGGAGAACAUCAUCAAUGUAGCUGAAAUCUCACUUACCCUAACUGGAACUUUAGCCAAAAAUUCUGUGGAGUCAGUUUUUCUUUUUCUUAAAAAUAACUUCUAAGAUGAUCAAGGAUAUGAACAGGCAUUUUUCAGGCAUAACAGGCAGAAACUAAAGUUUUCUCUAUUCAUAUAAAAUGGUAUAAAUUAUUAUUGAUUAGAGAAUGCAAAUUAAAAGAAUUC